rnacentral:tRNA from 1 species
GCUCCUGUAGCUCAGUAGGUAGAGCACUUCCAUGGUAAGGAAGGGGUCACCGGUUCGAGUCCGGUCGGGAGCU